GAGGGUACAGCUCAGUGGUAGGGCACGUGCUUAGCAUGAAUGAGAUCCUGGGUUCAAUCCCCAGUACCACCU
rnacentral:tRNA from 1 species